AUACGGAGGGAGCGAGCGUUAAUGGGAAUUACUGGGCGUAAAGCGCGCGUAGGCGGCAUUGUAAGUCGGAUGUGAAAGCCCUGGGCUUAACCUGGGAAUUGCACUCGAUACUGCAGAGCUAGAGUAUGGUAGAGGGAAGUGGAAUUUCCGGUGUAGCGGUGAAAUGCGUAGAUAUCGGAAGGAACACCAGUGGCGAAGGCGACUUCCUGGGCCAAUACUGACGCUGAGGUGCGAAAGCGUGGGGAGCAAACAGGAUUAGAUACCCCAGUAGUCC
rnacentral:rRNA from 1 species